rfam:Camelus ferus unplaced genomic scaffold scaffold132, whole genome shotgun sequence.
GAGGUUAUACCUCAGUGGUAGAGUGCCUGCUUAGCGUGCAUGAGGUCCGGGGUUCAAUACCCAGUACUUCCA